rnacentral:rRNA from 1 species
UGCCAGCAGCCGCGGUAAUACGGGGGGAGCGAGCGUUGUUCGGAAUUACUGGGCGUAAAGGGCGCGUAGGCGGCUUGGUAAGUCGCGUGUGAAAGGCCGGGGCUCAACCCCGAGCACUGCACGCGAUACUGCCUGGCUCGAGAGAGGUAGGGGCGAGUGGAAUUCCCGGUGUAGCGGUGGAAUGCGUAGAUAUCGGGAAGAACACCUGUGGCGAAGGCGGCUCGCUGGACCUUUUCUGACGCUGAAGCGCGAAAGCGUGGGGAGCAAACAGGAUUAGAUA